UAAUAAAAAAUAAAUUGAGGGUGUGCUUUGACUGCAUGAAGAAGCCUCCUAAGUAAUGUACACAGCCUAUUGCUUAUAUGGAUUGCUUUAAGGGACUUUGGAGACAGUU
ensembl:snoRNA SNORA70 Small nucleolar RNA SNORA70